AGCAGCCGCGGUAAUUCCAGCUCCAAUAGCGUAUAUUAAAGUUGUUGCAGUUAAAAAGCUCGUAGUUGAAUUUCGGGGUCAGUAGGUUGGUCAUGCCUCCGGUAUGUACUGGUCUCACUGAUUCCUCCUUCCUGAUGAGCCGUAAUGCCAUUAAUUUGGUGUUGCGGGGAAUCUGGACUGUUACUUUGAAAAAAUUAGAGUGUUUAAAGCAAGCUAACGCUUGAAUACAUUAGCAUGGAAUAAUGGAAUAGGACGUUCGAUCCUAUUUUGUUGGUUUCUAGGAUUGACGUAAUGAUUAAUAGGGAUAGUUGGGGGCAUUAGUAUUCAAUUGUCAGAGGUGAAAUUCUUGGAUUUAUUGAAGACUAACUACUGCGAAAGCAUUUGCCAAGGAUG
rnacentral:rRNA from 1 species